UACGUAGGAUGCAAGCGUUGUCCGGAUUUAUUGGGUUUAAAGGGUGCGUAGGCGGCCUAUUAAGUUAGUGGUGAAAACGUUCGGCUUAACCGGAUACCCGCCAUUGAUACUGAUAGACUUGAGUGCGACAGAGGGUGUUGGAAUGUGUGGUGUAGCGGUGAAAUGCUUAGAUAUCACGCAGAACACCAAUUGCGAAGGCAGAUGCCUAUGUCGUAACUGACGAUGAGGCGCGAAGGCGUGGGGAGCAAACAGG
rnacentral:rRNA from 1 species